UACGUAGGGGGCUAGCGUUGUCCGGAUUUAUUGGGCGUAAAGAGCGUGUAGGCGGCCAGGUAGGUCUGCUGUGAAAACUCGAGGCUUAACCUCGAGCUGUCGGCGGAAACCAUCUGGCUAGAGUCCGGAAGAGGAGAAUGGAAUUCCCGGUGUAGCGGUGAAAUGCGCAGAUAUCGGGAAGAACACCCGUGGCGAAGGCGGUUCCCUGGGACGGGACUGACGCUGAGACGCGAAAGCGUGGGGAGCGAACAGG
rnacentral:rRNA from 1 species